UUGACCUCGGAUCAGGUAGGGAUACCCGCUGAACUUAAGCAUAUCAAUAAGCGGAGGAAAAGAAACCAACAGGGAUUGCCUCAGUAACGGGGAAGUGAAGCGG
rnacentral:rRNA from 1 species